GGAACCUUGGAUGGACCAUGGUGCAAGAGACAGACGUGUGAGUACUCCCUGACUCACAGGGCUUCUGAACUAAGGGGAUGUGCGCCGGUAUUCCGUGAGGGCGAUAACUGUUGUGCUUCCAGAUUUCACUGUCCUUCAGCCGAUGACAGCGUGGUGAGACAUUCGGAGACUACAACAGAGAAUGAAGGUGGCCAGUGCUCUUUCGGAGACCACAGACUGAACACUGGCGAUGAGCUUCUGGUCGGCACCGACGGCUGCGUCAAAUGCAGAUGCGACGUUCCUCCAUUCAUAACUUGCACGCACAGAGCAGAUCCUGCAUGCG